UACGAAGGGGGCUAGCGUUGCUCGGAAUCACUGGGCGUAAAGGGUGCGUAGGCGGGUCUUUAAGUCAGGGGUGAAAUCCUGGAGCUCAACUCCAGAACUGCCUUUGAUACUGAAGAUCUUGAGUUCGGGAGAGGUGAGUGGAACUGCGAGUGUAGAGGUGAAAUUCGUAGAUAUUCGCAAGAACACCAGUGGCGAAGGCGGCUCACUGGCCCGAUACUGACGCUGAGGCACGAAAGCGUGGGGAGCCAAACAGGG
rnacentral:rRNA from 1 species